rnacentral:lncRNA from 1 species
UUACAAUGGAAUGAUAUGUAUUCAUCCAGUGAAGAACACUAGAGAAAAGGCGGUUAUUGCUCAGCUCAAUACAAACAUUUGCUAAGCCAAUGCCAACAACAAACACAUUUUCUUGCAGUGUUUGUUUAUCACAAUCAUAUUCGAGUUAGUGUAGUCUAGGGUUUAUCUUUAUCCGAGGCAAAACCAAAACCCUAAAUUCCCAAUCCUUGAUUUCCCUGCACAAACCCUACUCACUACACCCAUGACGAAGGUUUACGGCACCGGAACAUACGAUUUCCGCCGUCACAGAGUAGCGGAGUACCCAUUGGCAGAACCAAAAGCAGGAGAGCGGAGUCAAAAAGGAGGUGGCGGUGGCAGUUUACAGAGCACAGUAACUGUUUCUGAGAUUCAACGAGACCGUCUCACUAAGAUUGCUGAAUCGAACUGGUUGAAAACUGAUGAGAAGAAGAAAGAUUUCGAUCCAGAGCUUGUUGUGAAGAUUUAUGAAACGGAGUUGUUGGUGAAAGAAGGUCAAGGUAAUAAACCUGUUCCUCUUCAGAGAGUUAUGAUUUUGGAAGUUAGUCAGUAUUUGGAGAAUUACCUCUGGCCGCAUUUCGAUCCUCUUAGUGCUACUUUUGAGCAUGUUAUGUCAAUCAUCAUCAUGGUCAAUGAAAAGUUUCUCAUUAUCAUUAUUUGUAUACUUCUUCAGUUCUUUAUUUUAUUUUUGUAAAUGUAAUUCGUGGGGUGGGAAUUUUAUUGAAAAAAUUGUGUGUUGUGAGCAUUGCAGUUCCGAGAGAUGGUGCUGCGGUUUGCUUCCAUGAUAGGAAAGUGUUUUCAAGAAUUUCUUGAGAGGGUUGUUCGACUAAAGGAGGAUUUAUCUAUCUCUUCUUUAUGCUUUGUUAUUUCCUAACUAGCACUUUAGUCAAGGCACGUACAAGUGAUCAAUACAACACUUAACUUGUAAUUCAUACAGUUAUUCCCCGUAUCGUAUCUAUGUUAGGGUGCGUAGAUAAUUUUCACUUCGUUGCUAUCAGAUGCUUGUUUCUCUGUUUGAGUUUUUGAGAGAGGGAUUUCACUCAUUUUGACAAGAUUAUAAUUUUUGUAUAACUGCCAUCUCACGGGAUGCCAUGAUUUCAUUAUUUCGAUUGCUAGAUUUCAGUUUUUCAUUAUUUUGUUAAGUGUACAUCUGUCAUUUGAUUAUUUUGGACUUUCAACUUUAUUUUUGCUUGUCUCUUUUCUUAUCUAAUGAAGUGAGAGGUGCUCGUAUUUGAUGGCGGAAUCAUAAAUGUAUUUUGACAUUUUGCUGAAUCUCAUGUUCUAAUUUACUGUAGGAAGAGAACUGAAUAUUACAGAGAAGACAAAUUACUUGUUUUCAAUCUGAAAGUUUAAAAUGUAUAGGUUGUAAUCCCUUGCUUUAAGUUUGUUUUGAAGUUUUAAUUGCCAUAUUGGAAGUCUUGUACGUGAGACAUUUUCUCGAUGUUAUGCAUAUUGAAAAAAAUGUAUUUGAAAGUGUUAUCGUACAUUACUCAAUAUAAAAGCAAGUCUAAGGAUGCCUUAAAGCAAGGGAGACAUGUUAAAAUGGGAAUGAGAACUGAAUGCACCCGUGAAGAAAGGAAGACGAACAUAUCUACACCUGCUGUUUUUACUUUAUCUAGAAAGGAUGCCUUAAAGCAAGGGAGGACAUGUUUUUUCAAUUACGUACUACUAUCAUCUGUAUGUUUUUCUUAGCGAUGUUUUAACAUCGAAAGAAAGAAGAGGUUUUUGUAUGAAAUGGCCGGAAAGCUUCUAGAGGGUUUCAGACAUUUUUAUCAUCCAAGUCUCUUAAGGUGGGAUGUAAUUUUGUGGAUGCGGAGCUUCCUAAAUAUAAUGAUAUCGGCUGAAGAACUCUAUAUCCAAAAGACAAGACCCGGUUUUUCAAAGAAUAAGUGCUACAAAUCGGGAAGAGCAUCAAGUCCCGCAUAUCCGUACCGAAAAGACGUGUCGGAUAUGGACGCUUAGAACAAUCCAUGGUAAGUAUUUAUAAAUUGCGAUAACAAAUUUGUCAUCAUAUAUUAGUUUUAUCUGAUCAAAUGUUGAUGACUUAAUGUGUAGCUGCAGAAGGAGGAAAGUUCAGAAACAUCUCUUCCUGCACUGUUUUGUGGAAGGAAGCCCGUGUGGGCAAAUCUGGAGUUCUCAAGAAGAAGUUUUACACGUAUACCAGAAAUGUGUAAGUAUAACUUUUUCAUUAAUUGAAUAACUUUUUAUACACAAAUAUUUGACAAGUAUACGUAUUCAAUCUGAUUUUUCAUGUUGAGGUAUUCAUCUGAUUUUUCUAGUGUCCUCAACAACGUAAUCAAAUAGAUUGCGGGUAUUUCAUGUUGAGUUUAUGCGAGAUACUCUGCUUUGGGCCGAUAAAGAUUCCCCGAUGUAUGUAUUUCUAACUUAUGAGUUAUUUUAAUUUACACAUAUCUCAUAUAAUUAAAUAGUUGGAAUUAAUUCAAAAUAUGUUAUAUUAUUAUGUAGUACUUUGAUGAAUUCAAGUGUGCUUUUAUACAAAGGAUCAAGUGGACGAAAUCAAAGAGGAGUGGUGUCAAUUCAUGAUAAAGCUCAAUGUUUGUUCAUAAAUUUGUGUAAUUAAUGUGUACAUUUGUAGUAUAUGUUAUGACUUGUAAAUGUGUACAUAAAUUUGUAUAUAUUUUGAUACAUUUAAGGCAAAUUGGUUUGAAUUGUUAUAUAUAUAUAUUGUUACCAAAAUGGUAGAAAAAAGGCCAAAAUGGCAUAUAUAAAAGUGAAAUUGUCUGUCAAAAUCUGGGAAAACAGGUAGAAAUUCUGUUUAUAAACCUGGAAAAAAUGUGGUUAAAAACAAAAGCUUCAAAAUUUUCGUAUACCUUAGACAGCGCUUUUGUAAAAAGCGCUGUCUAAGGGGGGAUUAGAAAGCGCUUUAGGCAAAGCGCUGUCUAGGGGGGCUUAGACAACGCUUUUUGAAAAGCGGUGUCUAAGGUAUACCUAAAAAAUUAAAUAGAGGGUCUAGAAAGCGCUUUUGGCCAAAGCGCUGUCUAAGGGGUGGGGCUUAGACAGCGCUUUCAAAAGCGUUGUCUAAGGUAUACCUAAAAAAUUUAAAAUAAAGAGGUCUUAUAAGCGCUUUGGCCAAAGCGCUGUCUAAGGGGGGGGGGGGGCUUAGACAGUGCUUUUUAAGAUUUAAAAAGCGCCGUCUAAACUUUAGCGCGGAGGUUUAGACAGCGCUUUAAAGCGCUGUCUAAGGCUAAAAAAAGCGCUGUCUAAGGUCUUGUUUGUUGUAGUGUGAAGACGUCUCUAGAUGCCAUCUUUCCACAAAUGCAGAGACAAGAUUUGUGUCUAUCUUGUUCAAACUGGUUCUUUGCGUGAAGAUAAACCGGAUCUAGAUACCCAACUCUCCAUCUGUGGUGGAAGAGCCAAUGGAACCCUAGAAGUCAACUUCAGUCCAUGUCCAACAACCUUCAACUCUUUCUUUGGACCUCUUUCCUAAAAAAAAUUAUAGCCCGUUUAUUCACCUCACCGAACCAUAAACGUCGAGCAACAUGAUGCUUAUACUUCACCAAAAGAGACGUAUCGUACGGCCCUCCUGGAUAUCCAGCCGGCUCCGCUGCAGAUGAAGAUUCACCCCGGUCUAACGUGCGGACUGGAAUCCUACCAUCUGCACCUCGUCUUCGAACCACUGCAAAAAAAAAUGUUUAAAAAAAUAAUUAAAAUUAAAAAAAAAAAAAUUUACGUACCGGAACACUUCAAAGAAGAGUUCCGGUUAGUAAAAAAAAAAAAUCUUCCGGAACACUUUCUUAAAGUGUUCCGGUAUACAUCAUCCAAACCGGAAGUCUUUAAGAAAGUGUUCCGUAUACAACAUUCCAAACCGGAAGAUUUUCUAAAAGACUUCCGGUUCAGUGCCCCUAAAAUGGAACAAACCGGAACUCUUUAGAGAAGUGUUCCGGUAUACAUUUAAUGAACCGGAAGACUUACUCUAAGUGUUCCGGUUUACAAUGCAAAAAAGUCAAAUAUUUCUCUUCUCCGGAACUCUUCAACGAAAAUGGUAAAAAAAAAUUGAAAUGAAAAAUAUAGCCUAUUUAUAUGAGGGUAUUUUGGUCAAAAAAAUUUAAAUGUAGGGGUAUGGGACUAACUGUAGGGGUAUAAAGUAAAAUUUUCAAUUAUCCAAUGUAAUCAAAUAAUGGCCCAAGGCCCAAAAUAAACAAAAAAGAAGCUAAAAAAGAAAAAAAAACUGUAGCAAAAAGAAAAUGGGUGUGUGCAAGUAGUAUAUGAGGCCCAUAAGGCCUAACGCGCCAAGUUGUAAGGGGGACAGAGUCAACUGCCAUUGACCCAACCUCAACCGCUUGAUCUGAUUACAACAAGAUCAGAUGGUGGAUAGGAGGAAGAUGUGUGGUAAGGAGUGGGACGUUGCACACAUAGUCAGGGCAAUCAACAAUUAACAAGGGGAAAUGAUCAAUUAGACGUGCAACAGCAUCUUAUAAGCAUAAAAUCAUAAGAAAAGCGAUGAAUAGAGCCUCUCCGGAGCUUGAAUCUCCAGUGAGAACUCUAGCAACCAACCUCUGGUGAGUUCUUUAACUUUAUCUAUGUCUCUCUGUUGCUGCUUUCUUCCUUCUACUCUUUCUGCUUGCGUGUUUGUGGUUUCCAACGAGAAUGAGUGUUAGGUUUGCUCAGAGCUAACUCAGGUUCAGAUGAUGAACCUGAGUAGUUCUUGAUCAGAGCUCUGAAGUGAGAGGGUUAGGACUUUUAGAAGAGGUUUAGUGGAGGGGAUUUCAUGUCCUUCAUUGAGUGAAUGUGAGGGAUUUUAUAGCUGAAGGGAUGAAAAAGAGAGGAAAGAUGAGAGUUGGUUGGAUCAAAUUGGGGGGAAUGGUUGAGAUUGAUUUUGAUGAAAAAGUUUGUUGUGAUUUGUGUUUGUUUGAGUGAAAGGGAUAUAUGAAUCAUGGUGAGUUUGGGAAUGUAUGUUGAAUGAGAAAUGAGGGAUGAAUCAAGGUCACAAGUUUGAUGUAACUGUGAACUAUUUUGCUUUGAUUUUGUUUUUGAUUAAUUCAAUUUUGUAUGUCUAUGUGUGCCGAUAAUUUUGGUAUGGAAUGACUAUGUUGUUGAAUGCUGCACAUGCUUGAUGACCGCAAUUUAUUUUACUUUGUGAUUCAAUUUUAAUUGUUAUGGGAUGUGUACGUGAUUAUGGAUGAUGAUCCGAUAUGUUUGAAUUGAUGAUUAGGAAAGUCACGUGCUUUGUUGUUGCUCAGUUUGUUUUCAUUCUUUUCAAUUCUAUUAAAAGAAUAUGGAUGUAUGUAUCUUGGACUUUGAUGAUUGAUGAUGAUUGUGAUAUUAAGCCAUGUACUUGCCUUGCUUGUGUUUGCUCUUCAUUAUGCUUAUUUCCUUGUGUUUGGUUCAUUUGCAUGUCAUGAUAUUUGGUAUGGAGAUGAAGAUGAGAUUGUGGUGAUGGGAAUGAAGAGGAAAUUUGUGUGGGGACCUCCAACAAACCUGGAUAAUCCUUUUUUCUAUUUUUUAAUGUAAUUUUCUAAUCUUUUUUAUUAAAAAAAAAGAAAUGUAAUAAAACUUAUUUUUAUUUUCUAUUGGUUCUAUUUGUGUAUUAUUUACUUUAUCCAAAUGAUGUAAAAAUGAAAUGUCUAUGUAAAAAAUGCAUCCUUUUUAUGGAAACUUGCUCAAAGAUGGCUAGUUCUAAA